AGUGGGGAAUAUUGGACAAUGGGGGAAACCCUGAUCCAGCGACGCCGCGUGUGUGAAGAAGGCCUGCGGGUUGUAAAGCACUUUCGGUGGGAACGAAAUAUGCCGGGCCAAUACCCCGGCAGGCUGACGUUACCCAAUGAAGAAGCACCGGCUAACUCUGUGCCAGCAGCCGCGGUAAUACAGAGGGUGCGAGCGUUAAUCGGAAUUACUGGGCGUAAAGCGCACGUAGGCGGCAUCGUAAGUCGGGUGUGAAAUCCCCGGGCUCAACCUGGGAACUGCAUUCGAGACUGCGAUGCUUGAGUAUGGGAGAGGACAGCGGAAUUCCGGGUGUAGCGGUGAAAUGCGUAGAUAUCCGGAGGAACAUCAGUGGCGAAGGCGGCUGUCUGGCCCAAUACUGACGCUCAGGUGCGAAAGCGUGGGGAGCAAA
rnacentral:rRNA from 1 species